rnacentral:rRNA from 1 species
UACGUAGGGUGCGAGCGUUGUCCGGAAUUACUGGGCGUAAAGAGCUCGUAGGUGGUUUGUCGCGUUGUUCGUGAAAACUCACAGCUUAACUGUGGGCGUGCGGGGCGAUACGGGCAGACUGGAGUACUGCAGGGGAGACUGGAAUUCCUGGUGUAGCGGUGAAAUGCGCAGAUAUCAGGAGGAACACCGGUGGCGAAGGCGGGUCUCUGGGCAGUAACUGACGCUGAGGAGCGAAAGCGUGGGGAGCGAACAGG